UGGGGAAUAUUGCACAAUGGGCGCAAGCCUGAUGCAGCCAUGCCGCGUGUAUGAAGAAGGCCUUCGGGUUGUAAAGUACUUUCAGCGGGGAGGAAGGGAGUAAAGUUAAUACCUUUGCUCAUUGACGUUACCCGCAGAAGAAGCACCGGCUAACUCCGUGCCAGCAGCCGCGGUAAUACGGAGGGUGCAAGCGUUAAUCGGAAUUACUGGGCGUACAGCGCACGCAGGCGGUUUGUUAAGUCAGAUGUGAAAUCCCCGGGCUCAACCUGGGAACUGCAUCUGAUACUGGCAAGCUUGAGUCUCGUAGAGGGGGGUAGAAUUCCAGGUGUAGCGGUGAAAUGCGUAGAGAUCUGGAGGACUACCGGUGGCGAAGGCGGCCCCCUGGACGAAGACUGACGCUCAGGUGCGAAAGCGUGGGGAGCAAACAGG
rnacentral:rRNA from 1 species